AGUUCACCGCGUCAGUCAAAGUGUUCUAUUUGUUCCGCUGCCAGUUGUCCACAUUUACCAAAAAUGAUACAAUCGGAAAAAUCGUGGAGAACAUUUGAUGGUCCAGCAAGCAGUAAACCAAUUGCACGAAAGUCAAAAUAUAAAACUCCGACCACACCUAUGCCGGAAAAAAGAGUUCAAUCAGUAACUGUCCCUCG